GGAAUAUUGGACAAUGGCCGGAAGGCUGAUCCAGCCAUGCCGCGUGAAGGAUAAGGUCCUAUGGAUUGUAAACUUCUUUUGAGUGGGAGCAAUAAGGAUGUCGUGACAUCCGAUGAGAGUACCAUUCGAAUAAGCAUCGGCUAACUCCGUGCCAGCAGCCGCGGUAAUACGGAGGAUGCGAGCGUUAUCCGGAUUUAUUGGGUUUAAAGGGUGCGUAGGCGGUUUGUCAAGUCAGCGGUGAAACGCAAGGGCUUAACCCUUGACCUGCCGUUGAAACUGAUUGACUAGAAUGCGGAUGCUGUGGGAGGAAUGUGUGGUGUAGCGGUGAAAUGCAUAGAUAUCACACAGAACACCGAUUGCGAAGGCAUCUCACAAAUCCGUGAUUGACGCUGAGGCACGAAAGUGUGGGGAUCAAACA
rnacentral:rRNA from 1 species